rnacentral:rRNA from 1 species
AGUGAACGCUGGCGGUAGGCCUAACACAUGCAAGUCGAACGGCAGCACAGUAAGAGCUUGCUCUUACGGGUGGCGAGUGGCGGACGAGUGAGGAAUACAUCGGAAUCUACUUUUUCGUGGGGGAUAACGUAGGGAAACUUACGCUAAUACCGCAUACGACCUACGGGUGAAAGCAGGGGGUCUUCGGACCUUGCGCGAUUGAAUGAGCCGAUGUCGGAGUAGCUAGUUGGCGGGGUAAAGGCCCACCAAGGCGACGAUACGUAGCUGGUCGGAGAGGAUGAUCAGCCACACGAGAAGUGAGACACGGACCAGACUCCUACGGGAGGCAGCAGUGGGGAAUGUUGGACAGUGGGCGGAAGCCUGAUCCAGCCAUACCGCGUGGGUGGAGAAGGCCUUCGGGUUGUAAAGCCCUUUUGUUGGGAAAGAAAAGCAGCAGGUUAAUACCCCGCUGUUCUGACGGUACCCAAAGAAUAAGCACCGGCUAACUUCGUG